AAUAGAUACCCGGGUAGUCCACGCCGUAAACGAUGAGUGCUAAGUGUUAGAGGGUUUCCGCCCUUUAGUGCUGCAGCUAACGCAUUAAGCACUCCGCCUGGGGAGUACGGCCGCAAGGCUGAAACUCAAAGGAAUUGACGGGGGCCCGCACAAGCGGUGGAGCAUGUGGUUUAAUUCGAAGCAACGCGAAGAACCUUACCAGGUCUUGACAUCCUCUGACAACCCUAGAGAUAGGGCUUUCCCCUUCGGGGGACAGAGUGACAGGUGGUGCAUGGUUGUCGUCAGCUCGUGUCGUGAGAUGUUGGGUUAAGUCCCGCAACGAGCGCAACCCUUGAUCUUAGUUGCCAGCAUUCAGUUGGGCACUCUAAGGCGACUGCCGGUGACAAACCGGAGGAAGGUGGGGAUGGACGUCAAAUCAUCAUGCCCCUUAUGACCUGGGCUACACACGUGCUACAAUGGAUGGUACAAAGGGCUGCAAACCUGCGAAGGUAAGCGAAUCCAUAAAGCCAUUCUCAGUUCGGAUUGCAGG
rnacentral:rRNA from 1 species